UACAGAGGUCUCAAGCGUUGUUCGGAUUCAUUGGGCGUAAAGGGUGCGUAGGCGGCGAGGUAAGUCGGAUGUGAAAUCCCGGGGCUCAACCCUGGAACUGCAUUCGAUACUGCCGUGCUUGAGGACUGGAGAGGAGACUGGAAUUUACGGUGUAGCGGUGAAAUGCGUAGAUAUCGUAAGGAAGACCAGUGGCGAAGGCGGGUCUCUGGACAGUUCCUGACGCUGAGGCACGAAGGUCAGGGGAGCAAACGGG
rnacentral:rRNA from 1 species